GACGUAGGAGGCGAGCGUUGUCCGGAUUCAUUGGGCGUAAAGAGCGCGCAGGCGGCUUGGUAAGUCGGAUGUGAAAUCCCGAGGCUCAACCUCGGGUCUGCAUCCGAUACUGCCCGGCUAGAGGUAGGUAGGGGAGAUCGGAAUUCCUGGUGUAGCGGUGAAAUGCGCAGAUAUCAGGAGGAACACCGGUGGCGAAGGCGGAUCUCUGGGCCUUACCUGACGCUCAGGCGCGAAAGCUAGGGGAGCGAGCUGG
rnacentral:rRNA from 1 species